GACGUAGGGGGCCAGCGUUGUUCGGAAUUACUGGGUGUAAAGGGUUCGUAGGCGGUGCGGCAAGUUGGGAGUGAAAUCUCUGGGCUUAACCCAGAGGCUGCUUCCAAAACUGCUGUGCUUGAGUGUGGGAGAGGCGCGUGGAAUUCCUGGUGUAGCGGUGAAAUGCGCAGAUAUCAGGAGGAACACCGGUGGCGAAGGCGGAUCUCUGGGCCAUUACUGACGCUGAGGAGCGAAAGCGUGGGGAGCGAACAGG
rnacentral:rRNA from 1 species